CGGGACGGGUGAGUAAUGUCUGGGGAACGUGCCUGAUGGAGGGGGAUAACUACUGGAAACGGUAGCUAAUACCGCAUAACGUCGCAAGACCAAAGAGGGGGACCUUCGGGCCUCUUGCCAUCGGAUGUGCCCAGAUGGGAUUAGCUAGUAGGUGGGGUAACGGCUCACCUAGGCGACGAUCCCUAGCUGGUCUGAGAGGAUGACCAGCCACACUGGAACUGAGACACGGUCCAG
rnacentral:rRNA from 1 species